GAUGAACGCUGGCGGCGUGCCUAAUACAUGCAAGUCGAGCGAACAGACGAGGAGCUUGCUCCUCUGACGUUAGCGGCGGACGGGUGAGUAACACGUGGAUAACCUACCUAUAAGACUGGGAUAACUUCGGGAAACCGGAGCUAAUACCGGAUAAUAUAUUGAACCGCAUGGUUCAAUAGUGAAAGACGGUUUUGCUGUCACUAAUAGAUGGAUCCGCGCCGCAUUAGCUAGUUGGUAAGGUAACGGCUUACCAAGGCAACGAUGCGUAGCCGACCUGAGAGGGUGAUCGGCCACACUGGAACUGAGACACGGUCCAGACUCCUACGGUAGGCAGCAGUAGGGAAUCUUCCGCAAUGGGCGAAAGCCUGACGGAGCAACGCCGCGUGAGUGAUGAAGGUCUUCGGAUCGUAAAACUCUGUUAUUAGGGAAGAACAAAUGUGGAAGUAACUGUGCACGUCUUGACGGUACCUAAUCAGAAAGCCACGGCUAACUACGUG
rnacentral:rRNA from 1 species